rnacentral:rRNA from 1 species
GACGAACGCUGGCGGCGUGCUUAACACAUGCAAGUCGAACGGAAAGGCCCUGCUUUUGUGGGGUGCUCGAGUGGCGAACGGGUGAGUAACACGUGAGUAACCUGCCCUUGACUUUGGGAUAACUUCAGGAAACUGGGGCUAAUACCGGAUAGGAGCUCCUGCUGCAUGGUGGGGGUUGGAAAGUUUCGGCGGUUGGGGAUGGACUCGCGGCUUAUCAGCUUGUUGGUGGGGUAGUGGCUUACCAAGGCUUUGACGGGUAGCCGGCCUGAGAGGGUGACCGGCCACAUUGGGACUGAGAUACGGCCCAGACUCCUACGGGAGGCAGCAGUGGGGAAUAUUGCACAAUGGGCGGAAGCCUGAUGCAGCAACGCUGCGUGCGGGAUGACGGCCUUCGGGUUGUAAACCGCUUUCGCCUGUGACGAAGCGUGAGUGACGGUAAUGGAUAAAGAAGCACCGGCUAACUACGUG